rnacentral:tRNA from 1 species
GCAGUGGUGGUUUGGUGGUAGAAGUCUCCCUUUCCGUGUGGGAGACUCAGGUUCGAUUCCUGGCCUGUGCA